AUUUCAAAUCCCUGAAAUAUCACUUCUUUUAUCCUUCAAUUCUCUGCCACCAUCAUGGCCGUCAAAGCUCCGGAGAAGGCCAAAGCCAAAGCUUCAAAGGACCCAAAAUCUAAGAAAACUUCCUCUGCUCCUAAGAAACCCAGAGCCUAUCCUCCUUACAGCGAGAUGAUAAAGGAGGCUAUUGUGGCGUUGAAAGAGAGAACCGGGUCGAGUCAGGUCGCGAUCGCCAAGUUCAUAGAAGGGAAGCAAAAUCCUAACUUGCCUGCUAACUUCAAGAAGCUAUUGCUUAUUCAACUGAAGAAACUUGUUGCUAAUGGCAAGCUUGUUAAAGUUAAGAACUCCUUUAAGCUUCCUCCUAAAGCUACUUCUGUCUCAGAUGCUAAAGCACCGGCCAAGCCGAAGGAGAAGACUGAGGCUCCCGCUAAGCCUAGGGGCGCAGCAGGGAAGCAGAAGGCUGCAGCGGGGGCAAAGCCAAAGAAGGCGGUGGAAACUACAGCCGUGAAGUCUCCAGGAAAGAAAGCCGCAAAAUUUACGGCAGCGAAAUCGCCGGGAAAGAAGGGGUCAGUUUCUAAGAAGAAGACGCCGGC
rnacentral:misc_RNA from 1 species